AUAUAAAUUUUAUGAUGUACAUUCAGAUUCAUAUAUUUUAAUUUUUUAAAAAGUCAAACGGGGUCUUAAUUUUUGCCAGCCACAAAUGUGGCAUACUUUUCAGAUAAGGGAUUGCAUUUUUCUUUCUUCUUUUUUCGGGGGUCCCUAAUAAAGAUACUAAGUACUGCCAGUUUGCAUAUCGAAGUAUGACCAACGGAAAGUCCUACCAUCAUAACCAAAAGUCAACAUUUUCGGAGAGAAAAAAUCAAAAAGAAAAAGAAGUAAAUUUGGCCACGUAAAAAGUCAGAGUUUCGAUAUUACAAGAAAUCCCCUCAAUUUUGUUUUCAUUUUUAAAAUAUGCUCUAAGGAACUUGGUAUCCUUUACAAUAAAUACCUAUACAGUUUACAGUAAACAAGUACCCAAGACAAGGAAAGGAUCACAGCUACAAAAAGAAAUACACAACACAAAUGUCAGACUGUGAAGGAAAGAGUUCAUGGCCUGAACUAGUUGGGGAGCAAGGCCAAACUGCAAAGUAAACAACUGAAAGAGAAAACCCUUUGGUCACAGCUA